rnacentral:rRNA from 1 species
GUCUAUGGCCAUACCACUCUGAACGCGCCCGAUCUCGUCUGAUCUUGGAAGCUAAGCGGGGUCGGGCCUGGUUAGUACUUAGAGGGGAGA